rnacentral:rRNA from 1 species
AGAGUUUGAUCCUGGCUCAGGAUGAACGCUGGCGGCAUGCCUAAUACAUGCAAGUCGAACGAGAGGAAGGAAAGCUUGCUUUCCUAAAUCUAGUGGCGAACGGGUGAGUAACACGUAGGUAACCUGCCCAUGUGCCCGGGAUAACUUCUGGAAACGGAUGCUAAAACCGGAUAGGUAGCAGACAAGCAUUUGACUGCUAUUAAAGUGGCUAAGGCCAUGAACAUGGAUGGACCUGCGGUGCAUUAGCUAGUUGGUGAGGUAACGGCCCACCAAGGCGACGAUGCAUAGCCGGCCUGAGAGGGCGGACGGCCACAUUGGGACUGAGACACGGCCCAAACUCCUACGGGAGGCAGCAGUAGGGAAUUUUCGUCAAUGGGGGGAACCCUGAACGAGCAAUGCCGCGUGAGUGAGGAAGGUCUUCGGAUCGUAAAGCUCUGUUGUAAGAGAAAAACGGCACUCAUAGGGAAUGAUGAGUGAGUGAUGGUAUCUUACCAGAAAGUCACGGCUAACUACGUGCCAGCAGCCGCGGUAAUACGUAGGUGGCGAGCGUUAUCCGGAAUGAUUGGGCGUAAAGGGUGCGUAGGUGGCAGAUCAAGUCUGGAGUAAAAGGUAUGGGCUCAACCCGUACUUGCUCUGGAAACUGAUCAGCUAGAGAACAGAAGAGGACGGCGGAACUCCAUGUGUAGCGGUAAAAUGCGUAGAUAUAUGGAAGAACACCGGUGGCGAAGGCGGCCGUCUGGUCUGGAUUCUGACACUGAAGCACGAAAGCGUGGGGAGCAAAUAGGAUUAGAUACCCUAGUAGUCCACGCCGUAAACGAUGAGAACUAGGUGUUGGGGGAAUAACUCAGUGCCGCAGUUAACGCAAUAAGUUCUCCGCCUGGGGAGUAUGCACGCAAGUGUGAAACUCAAAGGAAUUGACGGGGGCCCGCACAAGCGGUGGAGUAUGUGGUUUAAUUCGAAGCAACGCGAAGAACCUUACCAGGCCUUGACAUCCCUUGCAGAGGUAUAGAGAUAUAUCCGAGGUUAUCAAGGAGACAGGUGGUGCAUGGUUGUCGUCAGCUCGUGUCGUGAGAUGUUGGGUUAAG